AGCACUAAGCUGGCAUGUGAUUAAACACAAUGGUUAACUUCAAGGACUGAGUACAUUAAGUUCUAAUGUGGGAAAACAUAUUUUAGGAAAAAGAAGAAUUUGUUUACUCAAGACUGAAAGCCAAAGGUCUGAAAAUGAAAGAUGAAACAGGUCAAAAAAUGACACUGAAUGCAGAAGAAAUGGCUGACUUCUACAAGGAUUUCUUAAGUAAAAACUUUAGAAAGCAUAUGCAUUAUAACAGAGAUUGGUAUAAACGUAACUUUACUAUCACAUUCCUCAUGGGUCAAGUAGCCCUGGAGAGAGCUCUGAGAUGGCUUCGCUGGAAAAAGAAAGAUAUUGGAAAUUAGUG